ensembl:ncRNA lncRNA:CR44126 long non-coding RNA:CR44126
AAGCAAGUCGAAUCUUCCAGAAAUCUUGUGCACAUUUCAUAUUGUCAUCAUGUAAGGGCGGACUCGGCGAGGGCAGGAAGGACGAAGGGCGUGGCCAUAGGCGUCAAAGUCCCGCACACCCACACACACAUAAGCUCAGCACAACGCUGUGUGUACAUGCGCUUGUUUGUUUGUGCUGCUGGGCGCGCACAUGCAUAUGAAAACCGCUUUCGUUUCCGGAGCAGGAGCGACUUGAAAAUGGCGCACGGCAUGGAGUCGGCGGUGGCCAUUGUUGUUGCUGCCGCCAUCAGAUAGAUAGGUGCAAAAAAGUAGCAACUCCAGCUUAACAACCACGAGGAAGGGGAUGACAAUCUGGAUGGCAGACAGGUGAAAGGGGUUGGCGGGCGAGUUGGCACCGAGAGUUGACAACAAGAUAUACAACCGAAAAAAGAAAGUGAAAUGGAAAUGGAAAAUGGAAAAUACAAAAUGCAAGCAAUCCAGGUAUCUGGUUGUCUGGUUGCCAGCGACAACGACAACUACAAGGAUAGCGACAAGUCGACAGAGUUUGCAGCCCGGGCAUUAACAAUAGCAAAGUGUUUUCUUUCCAACGACCAACAGCGCUUGGCUACGAGGCUACGAGGCUACGAUCUGACGUUCUUAUCUUUGCAAGCCAUAUGGGCAAAGGUAACACAGACCCAGAAACAAGGUCAAAGGCCGUCGACGGGCGGCGGACGGCGGACGAAAGCCAGCUGGACAGAGACAAAUGGAUGCAGUGAGAGUGGAAUUCAAAUGAAAAUGCAAAUGCGAAUUCAAACCAAACGGUGCCAGAGACAACACUGAUUAAAGGCAGCCGAGCAUAAAGAAUAAUGU